GUACUCACUUCAGCAGCACACACACUAAAAUUGGAACAAUACGGAGAAGACUAGAUGACCCCUGCACAAGGAUGACAUGCAAGUUUGUGAAGCAUUCUAUAUUUAG